UACGUAGGUGGCAAGCGUUGUCCGGAAUUACUGGGCGUAAAGCGUGCGCAGGCGGUUCUAUAAGACAGAUGUGAAAUCCCCGGGCUCAACCUGGGAACUGCAUUUGUGACUGUAGAGCUGGAGUGCGGCAGAGGGGGAUGGAAUUCCGCGUGUAGCAGUGAAAUGUGUAGAUAUGCGGAGGAACACCGAUGGCGAAGGCAAUCCCCUGGGCCUGCACUGACGCUCAUGCACGAAAGCGUGGGGAGCAAACAGG
rnacentral:rRNA from 1 species